rnacentral:lncRNA from 1 species
CCAAUUUACUGGCCAUUCCCUUCUGACAAAGCAGGACAACCCCAAAUCCAAGAUGAUAGAGACUAGGCUUGCACCCACUCCACAACUCUUGGGGGUCAAGGGAACUGCCUUGGCAGGUGUCAAGUUAGAAGAGAUACAUGCUGUCUCCAGUGCAUAUCCCCAAAAAGAUAUAGGACAAAGGUUUGAGUAACUCAUAUAGAUCUUACCAUAUAUAACAGAGAUUACGUUCCUUUUCUAUUUACAACACCAUUUUGAUGUGGUGUGCCUAGUGCAGUAGUCAACUGUAAGACUAUCACACUAUGUCUUAAGUAAUCCUCAACACUCCCCUGAGAGGGAUUCACCACCUCGAUCCGAUUAGAAGGGAUUAAGGCUUUUAACUGUUUGCUUUUCCGCUUCUGUUCUUAAACUCUCUUGAAAAAUCAAAGGCGUCAAACUUGUGGGGAAUAAGGUAAACAUAGUCCAAAUUUGAGUAAUCAUCACACAAGUGACAAAAUACUCAUACCACUCUCGUUUUGGAUAUUUAUAGGAUCACAAAAACAUCGAUGCAACAAUUCCAACAAUUCUUUUGCUCUUAACCUUAACAGAAAAUGAAUUGUUGUAAAUUCUUCCCCUCUAAACAUGAUUCCAGGUUGGUAGUGGUUCAAGAACCAAUGAACCAAGAGGUCAUCUCUAACCAACCUUUGAAUCCUAUUCAGGAUUAAUAGACCCAACUAAGAGCCAAAGAUAUGUGACUUAAAUGGAAGGAGCUUUCUCUUUAAUGGUAGUUUCUUUGAUUUAUCUAUUAUUUUAGUGUCUAGUAAAAUGGGACCGUAUAGUGUACAGGAGUCACUAGAUCAAUUCCAUCACCCAAUGUCCCGUAACAAAUAAACAACCCAUGCUUUUUUAUAAAAAUAUUUUUGAAAGAAAUGCAUGAAUAUCCUUUAUUUAUUAAAGAACUAUCUAAAAUCCAAAUAUUCCGGCCGAAUCUUCGGUACUAAGACAAUCAUAUAACACCAGAGACUCCUACCAUCUACAAAAGAUAACCUAACUACUCUAACUACUAAAGUUGAACUGAAGUUGAUGUUCCCAUGGUGCACGGUGAAUUUCCCAUUACUAAGCUUCUUGGUUACUUGGACCCCCUGCACUGAAUUGCAGACCUGAUUAAUGGCUCCCGAUCUACACCCAGUAUCAGUAGAGUAUCCCACAAACAUUCUCAGUCACAAUGACUCCAUCAUACUGCUUCUACUGGCAAAUGAAAGCUGUGGCAGUUCCUCUUCCAAUGGCCCUCCUGCCGUAUUGGAACACUUUCCCUUUGGCACUGUCCCUUAUCUGAACUCCCCUUGGCUUGGCUUCAACCUUUGUUGACAUGUUGGCCUUGUUCUCUUCAUCACUUUCUUGGCUUUUUGGCUUAAGCUUAGAAGAACUCCGAGCAGAAACUAUUAGAAUUGUUUCUUUAGAUGUAAUGAUCCUUCAGCUGGCCUGCACUCAUUCAUCAGCUCAAACAAAGUAUAAGAGUUUUUGUUCAUCAGAUGUUAUUCUUGAACUGAUUAAAUGAGUCGGCAAUCGACUGAAGUAUUAUUCCAAUCUGAGAAUCUGCAUCAAUCUCAUCACCAAAGAUCUCCGUUCAUUAAAAAACCAAUCAAUUUUUAAGCGUGUUCCCUAACUGAAGUUCCUUCUGCCAUCUUGGUGUUCAACAAUUUUUCAUGACAUCCUGCCUAGCCGAACGUCCUUACUCACCAACAUCUCCUUGAGUUAACAUUAUAGCCCGACAAUGGCAUAGCAAAUGUUGCUGCGGAAGCACACCAUCAAUAGAGGCCAAGAUAUAACAUUUGGUCAUCCUCAUUUGCUUAGUUCAUCGCUUAUAGCUGUUAACUCCUCAGUCGACGCACUCGCCCCUGGAAGAUCAGGCAUAGCUACUGACAACUUGUAUCCCUCAGCAUACGCAUAUAUCCAGUUCCGAUUCCAUUCAAACAUAAGUAGGUCAGGUAAUUUUUUGGCUUAGGAUGAUAGCAAGUGGAUUAAAAGUUUGAGAGACUAAAAAAUAAACAUACCUCACUACAUUCGCAUUACUAAUUUUAGAUCAUAUGAAUGCAAGUUGGCACUCCAGUAACCACUACAUAAAAGAUCUUGAUCUCACUAGCUAUCUGGCUAAUCCUCUAGUACCCUUUGAAGAGCAGCCAGAUUUGAUGACAGUAUCAAAUCGACCAACUAGUGUGGAUGCUGCUCCAUCAACUCCCACUUUCUGGCAUCUCAUGCCAAUGAGAAUUGACAAUCAACUUUUUUAUUUAGCCUUCUAAUCUGCAAUUACCUUCCGACUGAGCACCAAGAUUGGUGAUAAGGUAACUAGAUUAGUAAUUGUGCAACCAUUAUAAGAAAUUUGGAAUACUUGAAAGAGGUCACGUCUCCGUAGGGGAAAUCACCCGCAAGCGCAUAAUCCUUCAUUCUCUUAUACUAGGAAACUCGACAUCUUGGCAGCCAGUGAAUUGUAUACUCUCCGAAGGAACACCCAAUAUUGGUGGCGGAGGUAUAUGCAACCCUUACUUGUGAUCAACAAUGGAAGGCCAAGGGAUAUCUGCACUCCCGCCCCACUUGAUUAUUAUUUGAGAGAGUACCUUAUAAGCAACAUGAUUAACACUUAAUCAAUAGUCUUAAUUAUCCUUUUUAAUUUCCUAGAGCAUCUAUGCUCUUACCCAGUCAUCCCAUGAUCUUAAGAUCAAGGUAUUUAAGAACCAGUAAUCUAAGAUUUUUUUGAAACACUGAGUCCAAUUAAAAUUGGACUCUUUUCAAAAAAUAGAAUCCGAAUUAACUAUGACUCCUAGGUCCUAUCCAAUUUAAGGAAGCUUUUAUUUUUCAAAAACCUUUUGAGAAAACCAAUUUUAAAGAUGUUCUACUUAAAUUAGGAUUCCCCUUAAAAAAUGGAAUUCCUAAUCAAACUAGGAAUCAUAGAAUCAAUAAUCCAACUAGGAUUAACGAUCUAUCAAAACACUUUUGAAAAUAAUCAAUUUUGAAAAAAAUAGGCAUACAAUUCAAGAGAAGUCUAAAACACUUAGGAAUCAUAUUCCAUGUAGGAUCAGACUCUUGGAUUCUUAUCCUAUCCAAUCAAUUUUAAAUAAAAAAUAAAUGGACUUCUAAUUAAUAAGGAUAAUAUUAAGGCUAGUCCUACCUGAUAACAGCUAUUGUAGAGUCCAAUUUUAACUAACCAUCUUUGGUUAGGAACUUGCAGUCCAAGUUGGAGACUACACCAAGUAAAUCAUUCCUAACAAUUAGGGGAUUAAAAUAGAUAAUCCUAUAUAAUAAAAUCAGCAAUAAAUACAACACAUCCCAUCGCAUGGAAUUCCUAAUUCUUAUCAAUUUAGGACUUCCUUCAGUGACAUUAAAUCAGUGACCAUCUUCUCAAGGUCCUUCAAACUAUUCAAAUACUUCAUGGAGAGUCCAAUGAGCUCCAUCCCUAUGGGCCGGCUGCUCCACGUUGCUACAAUACUGAUGUCCUUGGACAACUCGAAUACCCUUCCUUGGUCCACCUUUGCUGGAGUGUCACCAAAAAUUCAGGGGCACUUCCCAAGCCUAAAGAACUUGAAGGACAAUCUUACUAGCUCCAACAAAGAACAAGAAGAAAGAAUACAAAAAGUCCUAUACUCCAUUGUUGGAAAUUUGCAAUUCUAUGUAAAAUUAAUGGUUAGGAAAACCAUUUAAUUGCCAGGUCGUGGGGAUACCUGCAAGAGUAAGAAGGACCCCUUUUACAAUGCCCACAAAUUAAAAUUAGAUUACCCUUCGAAAUGUAUAUACAAGCAAAAAACUCUAAUUUCAUGCGAUGUUCAAAGCAUUAUUUGAAUAAACCUACUGCCCAGAAAUUACAGGGCCUUGGCAAUGACAAAAAUAUAUAUCUCUAUACAUGAUUUAAAACCUGCCAUUCAAUCAUUCUAAAAAAACAUUAGAUCACUCUGGUGAUUUGAACAAAUUUAAAUUAAUGUUUUCAAUGCUAAAGCUAUAUUUUCAGCAAUUUUGUGUUUAUGGAAAAACCAAUCUAAAGUCAUUCUAAUUCAUUCAAAUCUUAAGGGAUUUAAUCCCCAUGAAAUCCAAACCCUACAAACAUCCAUACAUGAGUAGCUUAAAUCUAUAGAGGCUCCAAAAGUCCAUGGACAGCCAUCAUCGAUGGGGUUUUGGUCUUAAUUUUUCAACAAUAAUCAUCAAUCUUAUGAUCUAAGCAUGGGGGGGGGGAAGCAAUGGAAGAAUACCUAAGAUUGCUCUGAUACCAAUUUGAAGGUUGAAAAAAAAAACCAUGCGGAAGCGAACUAAAAAAAAAAAAUCCAGUACUUUAACAUGUUCUUCCAUGAAUUCAAGAGAAAAGAAUAGAUAGGAUUUCUUCACCUUUAGGGCUUGGUUGAUACCCUACACUAUGAGAAGUUGGUGUACAAUUUCUUGACCGUUAGUGAAGCUUAUGAACCUUCUUCUAUGGUGAAGAAGAUAAUGAUCUUCAAUCUCCAAAGUUUUGCCAACCUCUUGGCUUCCUUCUUUCACAAGGCCUAGACGGUGGCAUGAGUUAUGGGACUCUUUCUAGAAAAGCUCUCAACAAAAUAAUCGUAUUAUCUCUCCGUUUUUUAUAGCAGCCACCCUUUUAUAUAGACAUAUAUUGGCCUCUAAGGCCCAAGGCCCUUAGUGGUGCUGCAAGGAAGGGGAUCAAUAGGGUCCCAUCUUUCCAAGCUGACCUAUGGGCUUUAACCAAUUUCACAUCAACUCUUGAUGAAUGAAACAAAAGUAUGGAACUACCAUCAAACUCCACUAAAUGAUGGUAGCUAAACUCUGGAAUAUAUAAUUACAACCAAAGCCCCUUUUAUACGAAUUUCCACAAGGUUUAAAAACCCCCAAAAUCAAUAUCCAUAAAAAAAUACUCGGAUUUAAAAAUUUGUCAAACCCGAUUUCAAUUACAUCUUCAAAUUCCUUGAGUAACCAAUCCAUAGAUUCUUGAUCACUUAAAAUAAUUUGCAAAAAAAAACACUUUGAAAAAUAAUUAAUUUUUUAAG